UACAGAGGUCUCGAGCGUUAGGCGGAAUCACUGGGCUUAAAGCGUGUGUAGGCGGAUUGCUAAGUACCUUGUGAAAUCCCACGGCUUAACCGUGGAACUGCUUGGUAUACUGCCAGUCUUGAGCCAGCUAGGGGCUACCGGAACAAAUGGUGGAGCGGUGAAAUGCGUAGAUAUCAUUUGGAACGCCAAUGGUGAAAACAGGUAGCUGGGGCUGUGCUGACGCUGAGACACGAAAGCCAGGGGAGCAAACGGG
rnacentral:rRNA from 1 species